UAAUAUUUAUGAUAUAUAAAUCCAAAGGAUUUGGCGGUAAAAUUAUUUUUUAGGGGAGUUUGUUUUUUAAUUCGAUAAUCCACGUUUAACCUUACUUUAAUUUAUAGUUUAUAUAUUUCCGUUAUUAGUUUAUCUUUAAAUAGUUUAAUUAACUUGUUUAUUAUAUUAUAAUAUUAAAAUCAGGUAAAUAAGUAGUUUAUAUUAAAGGAUAAAAUGAGCUACAAUUAAUUAAAUUAUAAUAGAGAAUAUUUUGAAAUAUUUAUUUGAAAUUGAACUUAAAAGUAAAAUUUUAUUAGAAUAAUUUUUUGAAUUAGAUAAAAUUUUAUGU
rnacentral:rRNA from 1 species